AAGAAUGCAAUUAUUAACCAUGUCAAAACCCCUUCAAUUUAAACAUUAACCUCAAAGUAAUAGGCAGCCAAGACAGCAAAUUUCAUCAACAGUGGCAAGCAACAACAAUUAUUUGAAACAAAUGGAAACAAAAAAAAGAAGCAAAUGACAGCAGCAGUUGGAGCACAACGGUGCAACAAAUUGAGAGAGACGACAGCGGCAAACGGUGCAGCAAUUUAGAUCAUCAAUGGAGAGUCAUAACAGUAGCACUCUGGAUGGGUAAGACUUUGGACUAAAGAUGGAGAGCAAUAUCAGCAAAACUUUGGGGAGAAUGGAGAGCAAUAUCAGUAAGUGGCAGCAACAACAAUAAAGGGAGGUUGUGAAACAGCUAUUAGAGAUGGUCACGACUAGAACAUCAAAACUGUGGCAAUCGGUAGCAACAAUCAAAAGGCAAUUGGAUGCUGAAGACAGUGCCGGUUGGAGACUGAAACGGUAGCAAGAAAUUGAUGGUGGAAAUUGGAGCAAACGACAACUUUUUGGAGUAGCAAAUAGCAACAAAUAACUUCAGCAAGGCGGCGGCAAUUACUACUGCAGCUCAAGGCAACAAAGAAGCAAAACGGUGCUGAGAUUACAGCCAAGCGGUGUGAGAAUUUGAAGGCAAAAUUAAAAGCUAAUUUUUGGACGCCAAGCCAGCAGCCUUAUUAUUAUUACUGGUAGGUAUGGUCCCUAUUCUUCGUUUAAUUUUUUUUUUGUUUCGAUUUAAUACAAUAGGUUAAUUAUUUUUUAUUGAUAUUUAAAUGUUAAAAUAUGCGUUAAAUUUUUAUAUAUUUUGUACAUUUAAAAUUUAAUUUUUUUAUUUUCAGAAAUUUAUAUC
rnacentral:lncRNA from 1 species